rnacentral:rRNA from 1 species
UCGAGAUCCAAAUGUUGGGCUUGGCUCAAGCCAUAAGUGACCAAUGAUAUACGCGUGAGAGUGGGUAACCGGUUCACUUAGCGCAUUCUAGCGCUCGAGGAUGUCAAGCCCACCUGGAACUGGACCCGUCCAGACUCCUUCGAGGCCGCCAGUGGAAAUGCCAAUGGCGCAAGCCUGAUGCAAGCCAUGCGGUGGUGGAAGAAGCCUUCGGGUUGUAAACCAUUUCAGCGGGGAGAAGGCGUUAAGUUAAUACCCUGUCGAUUGACGUACCCGCAGAAGAAGCACGGCUAACUUCGUGCCAGCAGCCGCCGGUAAUACGAGGGUGCAAGCGUAAUCGGAAUUACUGGGCGUAAAGCGCACGCAAGGCGGUCUGUCAAGUCGGAUGUGAAAUCCCCGGGCUCAACCUGGGAACUGCAUUCGAACUGGCAGGCUAGAGUCUUGUAGAGGGGGGUAGAAUUCCAGGUGUAGCGGUGAAAUGCGUAGAGAUCUGGAGGAAUACCGGUGGCGAAGGCGGCCCCCUGGACAAAGACUGACGCUCAGGUGCGAAAGCGUGGGGAGCAAACAGGAUUAGAUACCCUGGUAGUCACGCCGUAAACGAUGUCGAUUUGGAGGUUGUGCCCUUGAGGCGUGGCUUCCGGAGCUAACGCGUUAAAUCGACCGCCUGGGGAGUACGGCCGCAAGGUUAAAACUCAAAUGAAUUGACGGGGGCCCGCACAAGCGGUGGAGCAUGUGGUUUAAUUCGAUGCAACGCGAAGAACCUUACCUGGUCUUGACAUCCACAGAACUUUCCAGAGAUGGAUUGGUGCCUUCGGGAACUGUGAGACAGGUGCUGCAUGGCUGUCGUCAGCUCGUGUUGUGAAAUGUUGGGUUAAGUCCCGCAACGAGCGCAACCCUUAUCCUUUGUUGCCAGCGGUCCGGCCGGGAACUCAAAGGAGACUGCCAGUGAUAAACUGGAGGAAGGUGGGGAUGACGUCAAGUCAUCAUGGCCCUUACGACCAGGGCUACACACGUGCUACAAUGGCAUAUACAAAGAGAAGCGACCUCGCGAGAGCAAGCGGACCUCAUAAAGUAUGUCGUAGUCCGGAUUGGAGUCUGCAACUCGACUCCAUGAAGUCGGAAUCGCUAGUAAUCGUAGAUCAGAAUGCUACGGUGAAUACGUUCCCGGGCCUUGUACACACCGCCCGUCACACCAUGGGAGUGGGUUGCAAAAGAAGUAGGUAGCUUAACCUUCGGGAGGCGCUACACACAUCGAUGCUGUCCACAAG